rnacentral:rRNA from 3 species
AAAUUGAAGAGUUUGAUCAUGGCUCAGAUUGAACGCUGGCGGCAGGCCUAACACAUGCAAGUCGAACGGUAACAGGAAGCAGCUUGCUGCUUUGCUGACGAGUGGCGGACGGGUGAGUAAUGUCUGGGAAACUGCCUGAUGGAGGGGGAUAACUACUGGAAACGGUGGCUAAUACCGCAUAACGUCGCAAGACCAAAGAGGGGGACCUUCGGGCCUCUUGCCAUCAGAUGUGCCCAGAUGGGAUUAGCUUGUUGGUGAGGUAACGGCU